rnacentral:rRNA from 1 species
GACGAACGCUGGCGGCGUGCUUAACACAUGCAAGUCGAACGGAAAGGCCCUUGCUUGCAGGGGUACUCGAGUGGCGAACGGGUGAGUAACACGUGGGUGAUCUGCCUUGUACUUUGGGAUAACUCCGGGAAACCGGGGCUAAUACCGAAUAAUCCAUUUCCUCUCAUGGGGAAAUGUUAAAAGACGGUUUCGGCUGUCACUACAGGAUGGGCCCGCGGCGCAUUAGCUAGUUGGUGAGGUAACGGCUCACCAAGGCGACGAUGCGUAGCCGACCUGAGAGGGCGAUCGGCCACACUGGGACUGAGACACGGCCCAG